UAAAAUAGCAGGAAAUAGUGCAUGAACUCUUGUGGGCGGCACCAAAACUGAAGAAAUAGUAGAGAGCAAAAGUGAAAAAUAACAACUCAGAGAAUGGAAACCAAAAAGAAAUUGAUCUCACGAGCAUCUUCCAAAUGUACGAACCAUAGAAAAAACGCCGUACAAGGGAGCUCUUUGGCCGGUCUUAUCCGAUGGAUGACACCGAUAUGUAUCUCGCUAGUGAGCUCGCUAGCUAGUGACCAGGACCCCUGGGGCUCGGUCCUGAGGGGAGCUGCUCCGUCCACGCCAUGGCCCUCGUUGUCGACCACGCCCUGUUGCGCAAGGUCGUGUAAGCCGUCGCCGCCUCUUGGCUCUCGACCGGGCCGUGUGGCAAUUUCCUCGCAGCAUCGACGGCGGCGACGAGGGCACCGCAAAGGAGGACAGCGGUGAGAAAGAGGAUGGCCGCGGAAGAUGUGGACUUCAUAGGUGAGACGCUGAUGGUUGUCUUAAUCUUCCUAGGAUGGGACUUAUCCCUCAUUUACCGAAGGUGCAUGGCGUUAAUGCGCUGAAGCGUCUACUUUACACUUGCAUAGAAGACAGGGACUAAGAAUGCAUGCCCCCACUCCGAAGGUCAGACAAACCUUCGGGUCAUGAAUAUGACGGGACCUAAGAGUGCCAACUCAGCACCAAAGUCAAAAUGAAUCUUUAGAAAGGAAAAGUUGAGGUGUUUCUCAGGCAAUGCACCCUCGCAGGGAAAGCCAAAGAGUCUCUCGCCCUCAAAAAGAGGCAGCGCACCUUCGUAGAAAGGAAAAAUCGAAGUGUCAAAUAUUUGCACUUCACAUGCAUUAUAUUGCACCACCACAUUGACAUGUCUAUUCUCUACAUGUAUUGCGUGUCGAAUUAUUUAAUUAUCAUAAAUACACCAAAGUACUUAC